rnacentral:rRNA from 1 species
UACAGAGGUCCCGAGCGUUGUUCGGAUUCACUGGGCGUAAAGGGUGCGUAGGUGGUGGGGUAAGUCGGAUGUGAAAUCUCGGAGCUCAACUCCGAAAUGGCAUUGGAAACUACCCUGCUGGAGGUUUGGAGGGGGGACUGGAAUUCUCGGUGUAGCAGUGAAAUGCGUAGAUAUCAAGAGGAACACCAGUGGCGAAGGCGGCGACCUGGGUAGAUACUGACGCUGAGGUGCGAAAGCGUGGGGGAGCAAACAGG